UCUAUAAAAGAUGCAAGUAACCAGAAGUAAAACUCUUCUAUGACUAAAUUAUGAGAGAUUAACCAGCCAACUUUGCUUAUAGCAGUAAACUACCGGUACCUCUGAUUAUGAGUAUUCAACCCAGAUCUGGACGUGCCAUGUGUUAUUUUCAUUACUCAGUACUACACCUACUUGGCCAACGUGACGUCCUUGCUGGUGUAUAUGUUAUGUCGACUAUGGGAGAUAAUCUGUCCCUGUUCAUCAGUCUGAGUAUCGGGCACCAAUGGGUAGGACCACCGACAAAUCACAUCAUGACUGCAACAAAUACAGCUCAGUUAGUUAGAAAGGCACUUCACCAGUACCAGACUGAAUACUGCAGAACAAGGCUGUAAAAAAUUUAACUCGGGUCAACUACCCGGUAAUUUUACUAACAUCUGAAUAAACUUUUCAAACCUGUUUGAUAUAUGACUUUUAUUUACACACACAUAUUUGGAAACAAUUUAUUUUUUGUACAUGAUUAAACAUUGAAGAUAUUUAU